rfam:Idiomarina planktonica strain CGMCC 1.12458 genome assembly, contig: Ga0171582_11
CUACGAGAAGUAAAACAAAGGGUCCAGUGUUCAAAAAGCCCCGCAGCAGUUCGGGGCUUUUUACUAUGUGACCUCUGCUGCACCGUUUCGACGGCCGGGCAGUCAACACACUGGGCGCUAUGCCCUUUUUUU